rnacentral:rRNA from 1 species
GACGAACGCUGGCGGCGUGCCUAAUACAUGCAAGUCGAACGCACAGUUUAUACCGUAGCUUGCUACACCAUAGACUGUGAGUUGCGAACGGGUGAGUAACGCGUAGGUAACCUGCCUGGUAGCGGGGGAUAACUAUUGGAAACGAUAGCUAAUACCGCAUAAUAUUGAUUAUUGCAUGAUAAUUAAUUGAAAGGUGCAAUUGCACCACUACCAGAUGGACCUGCGUUGUAUUAGCUAGUAGGUGAGGUAACGGCUCACCUAGGCGACGAUACAUAGCCGACCGGGGAGGGUGAUCGGCCAAACUGGGACGGAGACACGGCCCAGACUCCUACGGGAGGCAGCAGUAGGGAAUCUUCGGCAAUGGACGAAAGUCUGACCGAGCAACGCCGCGUGAGUGAAGAAGGUUUUCGGAUCGUAAAGCUCGGUUGUAAGAGAAGAACGGGUGUGAGAGUGGAAAGUUCACACUGUGACGGUAUCUGACCAGAAAGGGACGGCUAACUACGUG